UCCCCGGUAGCUCAACGGCUAGAGCAUCGGACAUGUUAUUCGGAGGUUGCGGGUUCGAGCCCCGCUCGGGGAG